rnacentral:misc_RNA from 1 species
UUCCUCCGCUUAUUGAUAUGCUUAAGUUCAGCGGGUAUCCCUACCUGAUCCGAGGUCAAAAGUUGAAAAAAGGCUUAAUGGAUGCUAGACCUUUGCUGAUAGAGAGUGCGACUUGUGCUGCGCUCCGAAACCAGUAGGCCGGCUGCCAAUUACUUUAAGGCGAGUCUCCAGCAAAGCUAGAGACAAGACGCCCAACACCAAGCAAAGCUUGAGGGUACAAAUGACGCUCGAACAGGCAUGCCCUUUGGAAUACCAAAGGGCGCAAUGUGCGUUCAAAGAUUCGAUGAUUCACUGAAUUCUGCAAUUCACACUACUUAUCGCAUUUCGCUGCGUUCUUCAUCGAUGCCAGAACCAAGAGAUCCGUUGUUGAAAGUUGUAAUUAUUAAUUUGUUACUGACGCUGAUUGCAAUUACAAAAGGUUUAUGUUUGUCCUAGUGGUGGGCGAACCCACCAAGGAAACAAGAAGUACGCAAAAGACAAGGGUGAAUAAUUCAGCAAGGCUGUAACCCCGAGAGGUUCCAGCCCGCCUUCAUAUUUGUGUAAUGAUCCCUCCGCAGGUC